rnacentral:rRNA from 1 species
GACGAACGCUGGCGGCAGGCUUAACACAUGCAAGUCGAACGAGAAGCCGGACUUCGGUCUGGUGGAGAGUGGCGCACGGGUGAGUAACGCGUGGGCACCUACCCUGAAGUGGGGAACAACCGCUGGAAACGGCGGCUAAUACCGCAUACGCCCGAUCUGGCUCCGGUUGGAUUGGGGAAAGCUUUAUGCGCUUCAGGAUGGGCCCGCGUCGGAUUAGUUAGUUGGUGUGGUAAAGGCGCACCAAGGCAUCGAUCCGUAGCUGGUCUGAGAGGAUGAUCAGCCACACUGGAACUGAGACACGGUCCAGACUCCUACGGGAGGCAGCAGUGGGGAAUAUUGGACAAUGGGGGCAACCCUGAUCCAGCCAUGCCGCGUGAAUGAAGAAGGCCUUAGGGUUGUAAAGUUCUUUCACCCGCGAAGAUGAUGACGGUAGCGGAGAAGAAGCCCCGCUAACU